UACGGGGGGGGCAAGCGUUGUUCGGAAUUACUGGGCGUAAAGGGCGCGUAGGCGGUCAGGUAAGUCAGCUGUGAAAACCUCGGGCUUAACCCGAGGCCUGCAGUUGAAACUGUUUGGCUGGAGUGUGGGAGAGGAGAGUGGAAUUCCCGGUGUAGCGGUGAAAUGCGUAGAUAGUCGGGAGGAACACCGGUGGCGAAGGCGGCUCUCUGGACCACUACUGACGCUGAGGCGCGAAAGCUAGGGGAGCAAACAGG
rnacentral:rRNA from 1 species